rnacentral:rRNA from 1 species
UACGUAGGAGGCGAGCGUUGUCCGGAUUCACUGGGCGUAGAGGGCGCGUAGGCGGCGGCUUGAGUCCCUGCGUGAAAUCUCCCGGCUCAACCGGGAGGGUGCGCGGGAUACUGGGCGGCUUGAGGACAUCAGAGGAGAGCGGAAUCCCCGGUGUAGUGGUGAAAUGCGUAGAUAUCGGGGGGAACACCAGUGGCGAAGGCGGCUCUCUGGGGUGCACCUGACGCUGAUGCGCGAAAGCGUGGGGAGCGAACCGG